rnacentral:tRNA from 1 species
GCCCGCCUAGCUCAAUCGGAUAGAGCGUCAGACUUUUACGGUCUAGGUGGGUAAUGACGCCUAGUCGCGUGAUCUGAAGGCUGCGGGUUCGACCCCCGCGGUGGGCU